rnacentral:rRNA from 1 species
UACGUAGGGGGCGAGCGUUGUCCGGAAUUACUGGGCGUAAAGCGCGCGUAGGCGGCUUUACAAGUCGUUUGUGAAAGCCCCAGGCUUAACUUGGGGAUUGCAGGCGAAACUGUAGGGCUUGAGUGCGGUAGAGGAAAGUGGAAUUCCUAGUGUAGCGGUGAAAUGCGCAGAGAUUAGGAGGAACACCAGUGGCGAAGGCGACUUUCUGGGCCGCAACUGACGCUGAGGCGCGAAAGCGUGGGGAGCAAACAGG